UACCAGCACCCCGAGUGGUCGGGACGAUUAUUGGGCCUAAAGCAUGCGUAGCCGGUUCUGCAAGUCCUCCGUUAAAUCCAGCUGCUCAACAGAUGGGCCGCGGAGGAUACUACAGAGCUAGGAGGCAGGAGAGGCAAGCGGUACUCAGUGGGUAGGGGUAAAAUCCGUUGAUCCAUUGAAGACCACCAGUGGCGAAGGCGGCUUGCCAGAAUGCGCUCGACGGUGAGGGAUGAAAGCUGGGGGAGCAAACCGG
rnacentral:rRNA from 1 species